rnacentral:lncRNA from 1 species
UCGUUUUCCCACCUACAUGUUUUAUAAGAAUACAAACCAACAGUAUACAAAUAGAGAAGAGGAAUAGAGGAUGUAAUUAGAAGAAACGGUCUAGUUCGUUUUCAGGUUGUAAUAUUCUUACUUACUCAUCUGUACAAACUGGCUCAGCCAUUGAUAUUGAGCCUACAACGACUUUUAUUUUUGCAGCCCCUCUACCACCUGGAAAUAGCAAUCCCUCUGAUUUCACGAUCAACCCUGCCAAAUAACAAACAACAUUACUUGAAGCAAAUAAACUUAUAUAUUCUGUAAGGCUUUUUGCAUCUGGUGACAAAAAAAGCUACAUACAGAAAAUUAUAGUUUGGUUAUCUCUGAAAUGAAAAUGUAUCCAGGCAGCUUUAAGUAUGAGCUAGCUCAAACACAAGGAAACUCUUGGAUACUCAGUACUCACCCACUUAUCAUACAUUUCCUUGAACGCUGGAUACAUAUUGUUUUUCUCUGGUAUAAGGCGAUGGCCAAAGGUUUACCUGUUCUCUCGAGCUCCUUAUUUGCUUGACCUUUUCCAAUUACACCCAAUGUUCAUAAAAGAUACAUUUAUGUGGCACAAACCUAUAGUGGAAUGUAGCAAACCAAUCACUGGUAUGUAACAUAAAUCUAUAGUGUGGAGUAUUUUGACUAUGGAAGAUAUAUGGAUAUUAAUCUAACAAGACAUAUCUUUGAACUGGAGUUGCUAUCAUGACUCGAUAACAGAGAAGUUAAACAUCUGUAGAGUAGCCUUAUGAUAAGACUCAUUUGUAAACCAAAUAUUCAUUUCUCUAUCCAAGAACAAUUGAGAGCAAUUCCAUGGUGUAACAGACACAUCAAAUUCCUCAAUUUUUAAGUAGUGAUACACAAGAACAAGUCUAAGUGAUAUGAUGAAUAUAACAAAACACAGACAUUAUACAUAUACAAAGUCAUUGAAACGGUUCAAAGAUCAUAUAAAACUGUUAGUUGAUUAGUUUAUAUAAUAUACAGCAACAAUUGAUUCAAAGAUAUUUAUGAAAUCCCCACUUUUCUAAUCCGAAUCGGGAAGAAACCAACCCAGAAAGUUUUAUACACGAAGGAGCUCAUAUUGAGACAGGAUUGAGAUAGGUUAC